rnacentral:rRNA from 1 species
AUACGGAGGAUGCAAGCGUUAUCCGGAUUUAUUGGGUUUAAAGGGUGCGUAGGCGGGGACUUAAGUCAGCGGUGAAAGUUUGCGGCUCAACCGUAAAAUUGCCGUUGAAACUGGGUCUCUUGAGUGUAAAUGAAGUAGGCGGAAUUCGUGGUGUAGCGGUGAAAUGCAUAGAUAUCACGAGGAACUCCGAUUGCGAAGGCAGCUUACUAAGCUACAACUGACGCUGAAGCACGAAAGCGUGGGUAUCAAACAGGAUUAGAUACCCUGGUAGUCCACGCCGUAAACGAUGAUAACUAGCUGUUUGCGAUAUACCGUAAGUGGCUAAGCGAAAGCGAUAAGUUAUCCACCUGGGGAGUACGCCGGCAACGGUGAA